AAAUUGAAGAGUUUGAUCAUGGCUCAGAUUGAACGCUGGCGGCAGGCCUAACACAUGCAAGUCGAACGGUAACAGGAAGCAGCUUGCUGUUUCGCUGACGAGUGGCGGACGGGUGAGUAAUGUCUGGGAAACUGCCUGAUGGAGGGGGAUAACUACUGGAAACGGUAGCUAAUACCGCAUAACGUCGCAAGACCAAAGAGGGGGACCUUCGGGCCUCUUGCCAUCGGAUGUGCCCAGAUGGGAUUAGCUAGUAGGUGGGGUAACGGCUCACCUAGGCGACGAUCCCUAGCUGGUCUGAGAGGAUGACCAGCCACACUGGAACUGAGACACGGUCCAGACUCCUACGGGAGGCAGCAGUGGGGAAUAUUGCACAAUGGGCGCAAGCCUGAUGCAGCCAUGCCGCGUGUAUGAAGAAGGCCUUCGGGUUGUAAAGUACUUUCAGCGGGGAGGAAGGGAGUAAAGUUAAUACCUUUGCUCAUUGACGUUACCCGCAGAAGAAGCACCGGCUAACUCCGUGCCAGCAGCCGCGGUAAUACGGAGGGUGCAAGCGUUAAUCGGAAUUACUGGGCGUAAAGCGCACGCAGGCGGUUUGUUAAGUCAGAUGUGAAAUCCCCGGGCUCAACCUGGGAACUGCAUCUGAUACUGGCAAGCUUGAGUCUCGUAGAGGGGGUAGAAUUCCGGUGUAGCGGUGAAAUGCGUAGAGAUCUGGAGGAAUACCGGUGGCGAAGGCGGCCCCCUGGACGAAGACUGACGCUCAGGUGCGAAAGCGUGGGGAGCAAACAGGAUUAGAUACCUUGGUAGUCCACGCCGUAAACGAUGUCGACUUGGAGGUUGUGCCCUUGAGGUGUGGCUUCCGGAGCUAACGCGUUAAGUCGACCGCCUGGGGAGUACGGCCGCAAGGUUAAAACUCAAAUGAAUUGACGGGGGCCCGCACAAGCGGUGGAGCAUGUGGUUUAAUUCGAUGCAACGCGAAGAACCUUACCUGGUCUUGACAUCCACGGAAGUUUUCAGAGAUGAGAAUGUGCCUUCGGGAACCGUGAGACAGGUGCUGCAUGGCUGUCGUCAGCUCGUGUUGUGAAAUGUUGGGUUAAGUCCCGCAACGAGCGCAACCCUUAUCCUUUGUUGCCAGCGGUCCGGCCGGGAACUCAAAGGAGACUGCCAGUGAUAAACUGGAGGAAGGUGGGGAUGACGUCAAGUCAUCAUGGCCCUUACGACCAGGGCUACACACGUGCUACAAUGGCGCAUACAAAGAGAAGCGACCUCGCGAGAGCAAGCGGACCUCAUAAAGUGCGUCGUAGUCCGGAUUGAGUCUGCAACUCGACUCCAUGAAGUCGGAAUCGCUAGUAAUCGUGGAUCAGAAUGCCACGGUGAAUACGUUCCCGGGCCUUGUACACACCGCCCGUCACACCAUGGGAGUGGGUUGCAAAAGAAGUAGGUAGCUUAACCUUCGGGAGGGCGCUUACCACUUUGUGAUUCAUGACUGGGGUGAAGUCGUAACAAGGUAACCGUAGGGGAACCUGCGGUUGGAUCACCUCCUUA
rnacentral:rRNA from 1 species